rnacentral:lncRNA from 1 species
ACACGAGCAGCAGCACAGACGGGUAGCGCAGCUGGUUGAGGACCGUCUGGCUGCGCUGCACCGUGGGCAGCGGGAAGUCUUCCAGCUCCUCCUGCGGGGACCAGAAUGAUAGGGCAUGGCCGGCCCUGCAGAGAGGACCGGCCGCACAUCCGGGCUGCAGCCGGUGGCUGCCACCGCCUCUACCCACUGUGCUCCCUGUCCCCCGUGGCGCUGGGCCCCACCUGUGACUCGAUGUCCAGCAGC